rfam:Geobacillus sp. CAMR12739 Contig22, whole genome shotgun sequence.
CUCUUAUCAAGAGUUGGCUGAGGGAAUUGGCCCAAUGAAGCCCAGCAACCGACCGUAAUACUAUCGUGAGAUAGGGCGCACGCCAAGGGCGGCGCCGGAAGCGUCAUGCUUCCGCAGGGCACGGUGCUAAGUCCAACAGAAAGACCGAUGUCUUUCUGAAAGAUAAGAG